rnacentral:lncRNA from 1 species
CUCAUUCAAUUUAAUAAGUUACAUUGUCGAACAUACCUUUCUAGGUUCUUCCAAUUAAAUGAGACAACUUAAACUUUGCAUAUUAACCUGGAUGAAGCAACCUCUCAGGUAUUUCAAGUUUAAUACCCAGAUAGCCUACCCAGGUAGGACUAAUCAUUGGCAUUGAUUAAUUCAAUUUGCUUUUGCAAAUUCAUUCACGUCCAACUUCCACAGUACUGUACAGUACUGAUGGUUCAUUAACGUCUAUAAAUAGAUUAAAAUCGUCUUUGCAGCUCCCCACAUUCCAAAACCAAAUUUUGGAAAAUUAGGAAAAACAUUUUUCCUUUCAAAUGUUCUAAUAAUGUGCAAGCUAUCAGAGAGGGUGGUCCCCACUCGCCCGCUAAUUAGUGAACCUCCACCCGUAAAUGGAUUGAUCUCUGACCUCAGCAGCGAUACCAACCCUAAUUAUGCCAUUAGUGGAAAAGCAGACAACAAUGCUUUCCAAAAUCAACCAUCGGGCGCAGGCCUCGUAAAGGUUCUCUCCGGUCUAGCCCUGAUGUCUUGCCAUCCGAGAUUGGCAUCUGUCCAAUACCGCAGUGCGCAGCUGAAGCACGAGCAGGUAACGGUAGACAUAAAGGGACAGGUGGAGAGAACCGGGAAACCAAUGACAAAUGCAGAAAAGGGAAACAUUCUGCUAGCUAUGGAACUGCGUUUGAAAAUGGAACAAUUAAAUGUAAUUGCAAAAACGUAUGACGAUGAACAAGCACAAGCUCUUCAACAAAAUCGUUUUCUACAGGAACAAAAUCAUAUGCUACAGGAACAACUCAAUUUAGCCAAAACUAAAUACGAUGAUGUCCACGCCAAACUAGAUAAAUCUGAAGAGUUAUCUACAAACAGGAGCGCUCAACUUGACAACAUGCAUGCUGUUUUGUUGAAUGUUACUCAAAAUAACACGGUUCUCCUCAAAGCGCUGCAGACCAAAGACGAUCAGUUAAUGAACACAAUGACAAAGUUGGAUGACAAAUCACCAGAACUUAUUGAAGUCGCUGACCAAAUGAAUGAUGAGAGAAGUCAGGUGAUGAGGUUGGAAAUAUUGAUUUCUAAGCAAGCAGAG